rnacentral:rRNA from 1 species
AUGAAGUCGGAUCUAGGAGAUUUCCUGGAACAACUUAACUUGGAAGAAGAGGAAUUCGAUGAUCUUGUUAUUGAUGAGGAUGAUCCUGAAAUCAACGAAAGCGUCAGAUGGCUUGCCCUAGCUAGGGUUCACACGGACAAGUCCCUCAGCCAGACUGCUUUCUACAGGGAGAUGCGCGCGGCGUGGAACAUAGCCCAGCCGGUUAGGUUUCGACCGGUUGGACCAAAUCUGUUCGUCGUUCAAGCCUCCUGUCUUGGAGAUUGGGAG